UCAUGACGCUGCUUUACGUGGCAUUCAUCCAGCCUCCCAGCAACCCAGGGAGAAAGAGCCAACUACUCUCGCACCCCUUUCCAGACAAGGCAACUGAGAUUGGAUGAUCACCUAGGCCAAGGUCACACAGGCGUGCCGGCAUGUUCCUCUCAGGACCUGAGACUCGCUGGGUUGACCCCACCCCUGCUGGGCUGGUGACCCUACCCCACCGAGCCAAUGAGAUUCCAUCCUGAGAUCUUGCUAGAACUGCCAUGUGAGGGUCUCCCUCUCAUGCCAACAGCUGGGAUCAACCUUGCUGGGGCUGGACCUGCUAUAGAAAAAGCCAAGCCGAGGAGUGAAAAAAGACGAAGAUCCUGAAAAUAUCACUUGACACUCUACGGAUUGACUCUGAUUCUAGAUCCAAAGCUAGUUGCUGUCUUGCACUAUUCUUUCCAGAAGCCAAUAAAUUCCUAUUGGUGUUUGUCACCUAUCACUGGCUAAUAAAGAAAUUCCAUCUGUCCUAGAAUCUUUUCUCCCCCAGUUGUGUUUAACUAGAGAUUUUUUUUUUUUCUCCUUCAGGCAAAUCAUAAACUUCUUAAGGGCAGGGCUGGUCAUUGUACAACUGCAAAUAUAAUAAAGUCAUUGAGGAAUAAAUUAUUAAAAAAACAA